rnacentral:rRNA from 1 species
CCUACGGGAGGCUGCAGUAAGGAAUAUUGGUCAAUGGACGCAAGUCUGAACCAGCCAUGCCGCGUGAAGGAUGACGGCCUCUGGGUUGUAAACUUCUUUUAUGGGGGGAGCGGUACCCUAUGAAUAAGCACCGGCUAACUCCGUGCCAGCAGCCGCGGUAAUACGGAGGGUGCAAGCGUUAUCCGGAUUCACUGGGUUUAAAGGGAGCGCAGGCGGAUUUGUAAGUCAGUGGUGAAAGGCUUAAGCUUAACUUGGGAACUGCCAUUGAUACUAUAAGUCUUGAAUGUUGUUGAGGUUUGCGGAAUGGGUCAUGUAGCGGUGAAAUGCAUAGAUAUGACCCGGAACACCUAUUGCGAAGGCAGCAGGCUACAAAUAUUGACGCUGAGGCUCGAAAGCGUGGGGAUCAAACAGGAUUAGAUACCCUUGUAGUC